rnacentral:tRNA from 1 species
GUUUUAAUAGUUUAAUUUAAAACAUAGAUUUUGUAAAUCUAAAUUAGGGAUCCUUUAAAACA